AAAUUGAAGAGUUUGAUCAUGGCUCAGAUUGAACGCUGGCGGCAGGCCUAACACAUGCAAGUCGAACGGUAACAGGAAGCAGCUUGCUGCUUCGCUGACGAGUGGCGGACGGGUGAGUAAUGUCUGGGAAACUGCCUGAUGGAGGGGGAUAACUACUGGAAACGGUAGCUAAUACCGCAUAAUGUCGCA
rnacentral:rRNA from 1 species